rnacentral:lncRNA from 1 species
GGCUGCUCCAGCAAGUCUUUUCCCUUUUGUCUUUUCUCUGAUUCUAGCACUUAGACAAAUAUGUUAGUACACAAAAACUAAUGUACUAAGUCUAGAAUCAUACCUUGUAUCUUGAUUUUCACUGCUUGAGUCUUUGGCACAAUUGAACACUUAAACCAUUUGUGUUGGGCACUUAAUCACCAAAAUACUUAGAAAUGGCCCAAGGGCACAUUUCCCUUUCAAUCUCCCCCUUUUUGGUGAUUUAUGCCAACACAACAAAGUACAACACAUAGAAGUGCAUCUUCAAUGCAAAUGAGAACAAGAUUUGUUUUUGAUUCAAAUUUGGCAUAUUUGGAUCAUUCUUUGCCACCACUUGGUUUGUUUUUGCAAAUCAAAUUCAAUUUCCUAUCUCUAAGUCAAAUUCACUUGUUGAGGCAUAGAGAGAGAUAUUCCAAGAGGAAUUGAUCAAAGAUUCAAAAACUCCCCCUUUUUCCCAUAAUCAAACAUUCUCCCCACAAGAGACCAACUUUUGACAAAAAGAGACACUUAGAGUAUUUUGACAAACCAAAAGAUCUAACUCUACUAUUUUCAAAAUUCUCAAGUGGUAGCUGAUCCAUUUGCUUUAGCCUUAAUUUCUCCCCCUUUGGCAUCAAGCACCAAAACGGGAUCAUUGUUGGCCCUUUAACCUCAUUGCCUCACCAAAAUUGUCAAUUAAGAGCAAAAAGGCAAUAAGAGCAUAGAGAUGAACUUGGAGUAAAUUACUCUCUCAUCGGAGUGUAGUGAAAGUCUUUCAUGGUCCAAGUCCACCUUUCCCUUUAAAUCCACUUUUGAGACUACAUGAAGUAAACUUAAGCACAAAUGUUAGUCUUAAAGGGUCAAGUUGUAGCACUUCUCCCCCUAAAUAAGUGCAUCACUUGCACAUGGACUUGUGAGGUCUGAGGAUCAUGUGUACAGCUUGAGCACCACAAAUGAACAAAAUAGAUUGAAAUGCAUAAAUUACAUGAUCAAAGGCAUAAAACACAUGUAUGCUAGAUCAAUCCAAGUUACGCGAAUCUAAGACAUUUAGCUCACUACGCAGCCUGCAAAAGGUCUUCUCAUCUAAAGGCUUGGUAAAGAUAUCGGCUAGCUGGUUUUCGGUGCUAACAUAAAACACUUCGAUAUCUCCCUUUUGCUGGUGGUCUCUCAAAAAGUGAUGCUGGAUGUCUAUGUGCUUUGUGCGGCUAUGUUCAACAGGAUUGUCUGCCAUGCGGAUUGCACUCUCAUUAUCACAUAGGAGUGGGACUUUGCUCAGAUUGUAGCCAAAGUCCCGGAGGGUUUGCCUCAUCCAGAGUAGUUGCGCGCAACACUGUCCUGCGGCAACAUACUCGGCCUCAGCGGUGGAUAGGGCAACAGAAGUUUGUUUCUUAGAACUCCAAGACACCAGGGACCUUCCUAGGAAUUGUCACGUCCCUGAUGUACUCUUCCUAUCGACCUUGCAUCCAACAUAAUCGGAGUCUGAGUAUCCAAUUAAGUCAAAGGUUGACCCCUUUGGAUACCAGAUCCUGAAGCAAGGCGUAGCAACUAAAUAUCUAAGAAUUCACUUAACGGCCACAAGGUGACACUCCCUUGGGUCGGAUUGAAAUCUAGCACACAUGCAUAUGCUUAGCAUAAUAUCCGGUCUACUAGCACAUAAAUAAAGUAAAGACCCUAUCAUAGACCGGUAUGCUUUUUGAUCAACGGACUUACCUCCUUUGUUGAGGUCGACGUGUCUGUCAGUUCCCAUUGGAGUCUUUGCGGGCUUGGCGUCCUUCAUCCCAAACCGCGUGAUCAAGUCUUGCGUGUACUUUGUUUGGGAGAUGAAGGUGCCGUCCUUGAGUUGCUUCACUUGGAACCCAAGGAAGUAGUUCAACUCGCCCAUCAUCGACAUCUCAAAUUUUUGAGUCAUCAUACUGCUAAACUCUUCACAAGACUUUUGGUUAGUAGAACCAAAUAUUAUGUCAUCGACAUAAAUUUGGCAUACAAAUAAGUCACCAUCACAAGUCUUAGUGAAUAAGGUUGGAUCGGCUUUCCCAACCUUGAAAGCAUUAGCAAUUAGAAAGUCUCUAAGGCAUUCAUACUAUGCUCUUGGGGCUUGCUUAAGUUCAUAGAGCGCCUUAGAGAGCUUACACACGUGAUCGGGGUACCGUUCAUCCUCAAAGACAGGGGGUUGUUCUACGUACACCUCCUCCUUGAUUGGCCCGUUGAGGAAAGCGCUCUUCACAUCCAUUUGGAACAACCUGAAAGAAUGGUGAGCGGCAUAGGCUCACAAAAUGCGAAUGGACUCUAGCCUAGCCACAGGAGCAAAAGUCUCCUCAAAGUCCAAACCUGCGACUUGGGCAUAACCUUUUGCCACAAGUCUAGCAUUGUUCCUUGUCACCACCCCGUGCUCGUCCUGUUUGUUGCAGAACACCCACUUGGUUCCCACAACGUUUUGCUUGGGACGUGGCACCAGUGUCCAAACUUCAUUUCGCUUGAAGUUAUUGAGCUCUUCCUGCAUGGCCAACACCCAGUCCGGAUCUAGCAAGGCCUCUUCUACCCUGAAAGGCUCAAUAGAAGAGACAAAAGAGUAAUGCUCACAAAAAUUAACUAAUCUAGAGCAAGUAGUUACUCCCUUGCUUAUAUCACCCAAAAUUUGAUCGACGGGAUGAUUCCUUUGAACCGUCGCUCGGACUUGAGUUGGAGGGGCUCGUGGUUCUUCUUCCUCCAUCACUUGAUCAUCUUGUGCUCCCCCUUGAUCACACGCCUCUUCUUGAUGAACCUGUUCAUCGUCUUGGGUUGGGGGAUGCACCAUUGUUGAGGAAGAAGGUUGAUCUUGCUCCUUUUGUUCCUGUGGUCGUACAUCUCCAAUCGCCAUGGUGCGUAUUGCGGCCGUUGGAACAUCAUCUUCAUCUACAUCAUCAAGAUCAACUUGCUCCCUUGAAGAGCCAUUAGUCUCAUCAAAUACAACGUCGCUAGAGACUUCAACCAAACCCGAUGAUUUGUUGAAGACCCUAUACGCCUUUGUAUUUGAGUCAUAACCUAACAAAAACCCUUCUACAGCUUUGGGAGCAAAUUUGUAAUUCCUACCUUUCUUCACUAGAAUGUAGCAUUUACUCCCAAAUACACGAAAGUAUGACACGUUGGGUUUGUUACCGGUUAGAUGUUCGUACGAAGUCUUCUUGAGGAGGCGAUGAAGGUAGACCCAGUUUAUGGCGUGGCAAGCCGUGUUCACAGCUUCCGACCAAAACCGCUCGGGCGUCUUGAAUUCUCCAAGCAUCGUCCUUGCCAUGUCUAUGAGGGUCCUGUUCUUCCUCUCUACCACACCAUUUUGCUAUGGUGUGUAGGGAGCGGAGAACUCGUGCUUGAUUCCUUCUUCCUCAAGGUACUCCUCCACUUGAAGGUUCUUGAACUCGGACCCAUUGUCGCUUCUUAUAUUUUUCACCUUGAGCUCUCCUUAGGAAGCGCUUAAGGGUCCCUUGGGUUUCUGUUUUAUCCUGCAAAAAGAAUACCCAAGUGAAGCGAGAAAAAUCAUCAACUAUAACAAGACCAUACUUACUUCCCCCAAUGCUGAGGUAGGCGACGGGUCCGAAGAGGUCCAUAUGAAGUAGCUCCAGAGGUCUUGAUGUGGUCAUCACAUUCUUGUUAUGAUGAGCACUUCCCACUUCUUUACCUGCUUGACACGCUGCACAAGAUCUAUCUUUUUCGAAAGUUACAUUUGUUAGACCUAACACAUGUUCUCCCUUUACAAGUUUGUGAAGGUUCUUCAUCCCCACAUGUGCUAGACGGCGAUGCCACAGCUAGCCCAUGCUAGUCUUAGCGAUUAAGCAUGCAUCUAGAUCGGCCUCCUCCUUCAAAAAAUCAACUAAAUAGAGUUUGUCGUCUAGUACACCCUUAAAAGCUAAUGAACCAUCACUCCUUCUAAAGACAGACACAUCUACAUUUGUAAAUAAGCAAUUAUAACCCAUAUUACAUAAUUGACUAACGGACAACAAGUUAUACCCAAGCAAUUCAACUAAAAACACAUUAGAUAUGGAAUGCUCGGAUGAAAUAGCUAUCUUUCCUAGUCCUUUAACCUUGCCUUGAUUCCCGUCACCAAAUAUGAUUGAAUCUUGAUAAUCUUUGUUCUUGACGUAGGAGGAGAACAUCUUCUUCUCCCCCGUCAUGUGGUUUGUGCAUCCGCUGUCGAUAAUCCAGCUUGAGCUCCCGGAUGCAUAAACCUGCAAGGCAAAUUAGGCUUGGGUUUUAGGUACCCAACUCUUGUUGGGUCCUACAAGGUUAGUAACAAUAGCCUUAGGGACCCAAAUGCAAGUUUUGUCUCCCUUGCAUUUUGCCCCUAAUUUCCUAGCAACCACUUUCUUAUCUUUGCAUGUGAGUACAAACUCAGUGUUGCAGGCAUGAAUAACAGUAGCAUUUUCAUUAUGCAUUUUCCUAGGCACAUUAACAACAUUUCUCCUAGGCAUAUGAUGAACAACAUUUUUCCUAGGCAUAUCUCUACCAUGCACAAAGGAAGAACUUGAAGCAAUCGUGGCAUGUGAAUCAUAAGCAUUACAACUCCUAUUAUGAUAAGCAUUUCUAGAAAAUUUUCUAUCAUAAAUAAAUGCAUGAUUCUUUUGACUACUAUUAGCCAUAGGAGCCUUUCCCUUUUCCUUGUUGAAAAUGGGAGCUCUUUGGCUUGUUAAGUUCUUGGCUUCCCUUUUAAAGACAAGUCCAUCCUUAAUUGAGGGGUGUCUACCAAUAGUGUAGGCAUCCCUUGCAAAUUUUAGUUUAUCAAAGUCAUUUUUGCUAGUCUUAAGUUGGGCAUUAAGACUAGCCACUUCACUAUUUAAUUUUGCAAUAGAAGUAAGGUGCUCAACACAUGCAUCAACAUUUAAGUCCUUACACCUAUUACAAAUUACUACAUGUUCAAUACAUGAGCUAGAUUUAUUAGCUACUUCUAACUUAGCAUUUAAGUCAUCAUUGAUACUCUUUAGACUAGAAAUAGACUCAUGACAAGUAGAUAAUUCACAUGAAAGCAUUUCAUUUCUUUUAACUUCUAAAGCAAGAGACUUUUGCACACUUACAAAUUUAUCAUGCUCUUCUUAUAAAAGAUCCUCUUGUUUUUCUAACAAUCUAUUCUUCUCAUUCAAAGCAUCAAUCAAUUCAUUGAUCUUAUCAAUUUUAGUUCUAUCUAAACCUUUGAAUAAACUUGCAUAGUCUACUUCAUCAUCACUUGAAGAAGCAUAUGUAAUAGUAUUUCGAGUGCUUACCUUCUUCUCCUUUGCCAUGAGGCAGGUGUGAUGCUCGUUGGGGAAGAGAGACGAUUUGUUGAAGGUCGUGGCGGCGAGUCCUUCGUCGUCGGAGUCGGACGUAGAACAAUCCGAGUCCCAUUCUUUUCCAAGGUGUGCCUCGCCCUUAGCCUUCUUGUAAACCUUCUUGUUCUCUCUCUUCCCAUUCUUUCCUUGUUCCUGGUAACUAUCAUUAUCGGUACAAUUAGCAAUAAAGUGACCAAUCUUACCACACUUAAAGCAAGAGCGCUUUCCCUUCGUCUUGCUCUUGUUGGGAUGCUCCUUGCGUCCUUUGAGCGCCGUCUUGAAGCGCUUGAUAAUGAGGGCCAUUUCAUCCUCAUUUAGCCCGGCCGCCUCAACUUGUGCCACCUUGCUAGGUAGCGCCUCCCUGCUACUUGUUGCUUUGAGAGCAACGAUUUGAGGCUCGUGGAUCGGCAUUGGGCCAUUCAACGCCUCAUCAACAUAUCUUGCCUCCUUGAUCAUCAUUCGCCCGCUUACAAACUUUCCGAGUAUUUCCUCGGGCGUCAUCUUGGUGUACCUAGGAUUUUUACGGAUAGAGUUAACAAGAUGAGGAUCAAGGACAGUGAAGGACCUUAGCAUAAGUCGGACGACGUCAUGGUCCGUCCAUCUCGUGCUUCCAUAGCUUCUGAUUUUGUUGACCAGGGUCUUGAGCCUGUUGUACGUUUGAGUUGGCUCCUCCCCCCUGAUCAUUGCGAACCUUCCUAGUUCGCCUUCCACCAACUCCAUCUUGGUGAUCAUGGUGGCGUCGUUCCCCUCAUGUGAGAUCUUGAGGGUGUCCCAAAUUUGUUUGGCAUUAUCCAAGCCACCCACCUUAUGAUACUCUUCCUUGCACAAGGAUACUAAAAGAACAGUAGUAGCUUGUGCAUUUUUGUGAAUUUGUUCAUUGAUAAACAUGGAGUUAUCCGAACUAUCAAAUUGCAUUCCAUUUUCUACUAUCUCCCAUAUACUUGGAUGAAGAGAGAACAAGUGGCUACGCAUUUUGUGACUCCAAAAUCUGUAGUCCUCUCCAUCAAAGUGUGGGGGUUUACCAAGAGGAAUGGAAAGCAAAUGAGUGUUGGAAUUUUGCGGAAUACGAGAAUAAUCAAAAGAAAAGUUUGAGUUGACCGUUUUCUUUUUCUCGUCGUCGUCAUCUCUUUGAGAAGAAGAGGACUCGUCGCUGUCGUAGUAGACUAUCUUCUUGAUGUGCCUCUUCUUCUUCCCAUCCUUCUUCUUGUGACUUGAGCCCGAGUCUGUGGGCUUGUCGUCUUUUGGCUCAUUGAUGAAGGACUCCUUCUCCUUGUCGUUGAUCACCAUCCCCUUUCCCUUAGGAUCCAUCCCUUCGGGCGAUUAGUCCCUUUCGUGAAGAGAACAGCUCUGAUACCAAUUGAGAGCACCUAGAGGGGGGUGAAUAGGUGAUCCUGUAAAACUUAAAACUUAUUGCCACAAAACUUGGUUAAGUGUUAGUGCAAUAGGAUCAAGUAGCUGGAGAGGAGUACUUGUGAAACACAGAAACCACAGAGAGAAACAACACAGUAGACACAGUGGUUUAUCCCGUGGUUCGGCCAAGUACAAAACUUGCCUACUCCACGUUGUGGCGUCCCAAUGGACGAGGGUUGCACUCAACCCCUCUCAAGUGAUCCAAUGAUCAACUUGAAUACCACGGUGUUCCUUUUCUUAUCACUUUUCCGUUUGCGAGGAAUCUCCACAAGUUGGAGUCUCUCGCCCUUACAACAAAUAUCAAAGUGAAAGCACUAGAAUAAGGGAGGGAAGCAACACACACAAAUCCCAGCAAUACGCACACACACACAAGCCAAGGCUUGAGCUCAAAUGAAACACAACAAGUUCACCACUAGAACGGAGCUCAAAUCACUAAGAAUGUCAAUCGAGUGUGCGAGAAUGGAGUGCGGGAGUCUUAGAAUGUUCAGAGUAUGCUGGGUGUUCUCCCCAUGCGCCUAGGGGUCCCUUUUAUAGCCCCAAGGCAGCUAGGAGCCGUUGAGAGCAAUCCAGGAAGGCAAUUCUUGCCUUCUGUCGGGUGGCGCACCCGGACAGUCCGGUGCACCACCGGACAGGCACUGUUCAGUGUCCAGUGCAGAUUGCUUUCCUAAAUUGGCGCAGCCGACCGUUGAAGAUUUGGAGCCGUUGGCGCACCGGACACUGUCCGGUGCCCCCAUCAGACCGUUAGCUCGGCCACGCGUCACGCGCGGAUUGCGCGGCCGACCGUUGGCGCGGCCGACCGUUGGCUCACCGGACAGUCCGAUGCACCACCGGACAGUCCGGUGAUUUUUAGUCGUUCGCCGUCGUCGAGACCCGAGAGUAGCCAGUUGACCAGACUCCAGCCUGGCGCACCGGACACUGUCCGGUGCACCACUGGACAGUCUGGUGCACCUAGACUGCGCAGAGUCUUGGCUGCUCCAGCAAGUCUUUUCCGUUUUGUCUUUUCUCUGAUUCUAGCACUUAGACAAAUAUGUUAGUACACAAAAACUAAUGUACUAAGUCUAGAAUCAUACCUUGUAUCUUGAUUUUCACUGCUUGAGUCUUUGGCACAAUUGAACACUUAAACCAUUUGUGUUGGGCACUUAAUCACCAAAAUACUUAGAAAUGGUCCAAGGGCAUAUUUCCCUUUCAGUAAGGUAGUCCUCCACUAGAUUUCCUAAUUAGUAAGCCAAGGUGUCCCAUUCCACCCUUGUGGUAGCACGGUUAUCUCAAGUUAAGCUCCAUGUUCCAAUUAACAUGAUGAUCUUGUCAUGAACAAUAACUAAAACAACAACAUAAUUGGAAUAUGGUCAUAAUUCAAAUGUAACAUUAAUCUCAAGACCAGGUAGAGCAAUAGCAUGUCUACCCAAUAGUUCAGUUGUCUGCAAGGGGUGGGGUAAACAAACUAGGGAAACCUAUUAGGUCCCAUCAAAUUAACCUAAGCAUGUCACAUUGAUGAACAAGAAUAUUAUUAGGUAAAGAAGAGUGAUCAAGGGCAUAACUUGCCUUAGACUUGGGAUCCCAGAUACUUCACCAAAUUGGUCUCCGGGUGACCCGUAACCUCGCUGGUACUAGUAGCAAUACAUACAAAUAGACAAGAAGUACAUAAAAAUAACAUUAUACCAAACAUGAGAACAAACACCAUAAGAAUAUUCUACGCGCUGCUACGAGAUUGUGGGUUCGAGAAUCACUAGAAUCAGAGUUAUGGUUCAAAAGAUUUAGUUUUCUGAAGUUUAGGUGUUUAAACAAUAAAACUAUAUUAUAUGUUGAUUAAUAAAAUAACGUGAGAAAAUACAUUAAGGAAAUAACUAAUUCAACAGUAAUUUAAGUUAUAUCUUAAUUGGAAAUCAUAUCUUCACCACUUAUGGAGGAAUCGAUUAUAAUAUCACAUUUAACCUGUAUUAGAAAAGUUAAUUUGAUAACUAGAGAUUAAUUAAUUAUUUUCAAGAAUAUGUUUCAUGACAAAAUAAAGUUACUAAAGUGUAGGCAAAAUCAUUAUGAAGAUAACACAACUUGAGCGGGUCAAAUUAGAGUUAAAAUGAAAUAGUUAUGAAUUCCCUAGGUUCUCUAUAAUUUUUUAUACAAAAAUCAUUUUCUGUAUUUAGUUUACAAAUUCCUGGAUUCGCUGGACUAUGGACACUAUUUACAGAAGUUCGGGGGUCUGAUCUGAAAGAAAACGGACUUGGUGCAAUGGUUCUACUAUAGCCAUGAACUGUGGGUUAAAUAUAAUAAACCACAUAGACUCUUUAUUAAGUUUGCCACGGUCGGACGGGUACGGGCACAGGUGGUCCGCUAGAUCUAGAUUCGAUGGCUACAGAUAGAUUAUGAACUUGUAUCUCUUGCUAGCCCUAGGUUCCGAGAUCGAUGGUUCUGAUUUAAUUACUUAGAUCACUAGUCCCGACCGCCCAAUUGAGAUCGAACGCCCGAGAUAACCCCAAGGCGAAACGGUACGACUCCCCUAGUCACAACCACUGAUCCCCAGAACGACGGCCAACAUCUUUCUUCCACCUCCCGCAACCCACACGCGGUAGCACCGCCGAUCCGAGGCCUAGAUUUCGCCAGAGAUGCGCUCAUCCGAGCUUCUAGGGCCUAAUCCGAGCGCUACCGGGAGGAGGGCAAACGCUGGUGUGAACAUGAAGGGGUGGCGUACCAGUGCACAGCGCGGCGAAAACCCCAUCCGCAGAGCAGUGUGAUCCCCUGACGAAGCUUCAUCGUCGGCAAGCAAUUGCCAGCCCUCCGAUCGAUCACCCCUCCAAACAACGCCACAGACACAUCCGCCAGGAUAGGCCGAGCCUCCCUGGCCGUGUUCUUAACUCAGACGACGGCACUCCCUCCGAUUGGCCAGCGGCAACAACCUUCACUCCGCCCAGCGGCAACUCUCCCUCACGUUGGCGUUCAUGGCCGACAA